rnacentral:rRNA from 1 species
UACAGAGGUCUCAAGCGUUGUUCGGAUUCAUUGGGCGUAAAGGGUGCGUAGGUGGCGCUGUAAGUCAGGUGUGAAAUUUCGGAGCUUAACUCCGAAACUGCAUUUGAUACUGCGGUGCUUGAGGACUGGAGAGGAGACUGGAAUUUACGGUGUAGCAGUGAAAUGCGUAGAGAUCCGGAGGAACACCGACGGCGCAGGCAGCGUCCUGGCCGCUUGCUGACACUGAGGCACGAAAGCUGGGGGAGCAAGCAGG